rnacentral:pre_miRNA from 1 species
AUGACCCUGGGAUCUUCUUAGAAACGCAGACUCUGAUUCAGUAGGUUUGGGACACAGACUGUGAUUCUGCAUUUCUAACAAGCCCCCAGGUGAUGCUAA